ensembl:lncRNA
CUAACAAGGUCAAAACUGUUUUGCUGAAGAGUGAUGGAUUAAGUAAAUGGGUUCAGGUCAGUUUGGUCCAGAGACUGAUGUUUAUGUUUUAGCAAUUUGAAAAAACUGAGAUAAUGCAACCAAUUUAGACCAGUACACUCCUGACAUCUUGUGGUUAAAAUAGUUAUUGGACAGUCACAAGAAAAUUUAUCUUGUCAAAGUGACAUAUGCAAUAUAGGAAAAAAAUAGUUUGGAUAACAUUGCCAGAAGACCCUCUUUAAGUCAUUUUUUACUGUUCUAAAGAUAUCCUAAUUUUAUAUUUUUCAUUUGGUAAAUUUGUAAAAUGAUCCCUUUUUGGGCAAUAACUUAUAUUAUUGUAUAUAGUGUUUUUUUCCUGUUUUAUUGAGUGUUGAGGCAGUUUAGAAAGAUGAAAGCUGGGGGGAAAUAGCAAAGUGUGUUGAUGUGAUUGGUGGGGCGCUGCUGAAAACACUAAAGCGUCAAACUUGUUGGCUGAGCUGGUGAACCAAUGGACUCUAACACAACUGAGUCAACUAGCAUUGUUGGUUCUACAUGUUCAAACUAAACUUUCAGAAAACAAAAACAAAUGUGGUUUGUACUGUUGAGUUGAAUAAGCGAUCAGUAGCUCUGGUGUUUAGUUUCUGGCAAGUUCCAGCUGGCUUUGACAGACAAAAAAAGGAACCUGGAAAGUCCCUUCUUUCUUUGACACUCUUUAAUAUUGUGAAGAAUGAAACUGGUGAUGUGAUACUAGAUAUCUGAUAAAAGUGGGACACUGGGGCCUCCUAACUCCUAACUUUGGCCCUUGACCUGUUUUACUUCCUGUGUGAUUUCUUUUCCUGAAGCACUUGGAUUGGACAAUUGCAAAAAUCAUCAUCCAGGAGUGGAUUUUGCCAGACAGAACUGCGCUGACCCACCUUGGCUCAGGAGAUGUUUUUAAUAGACUCGCUCACUCUACUAUAAACGGAAGCGUUUCUUCCUGUUUUUGUCAGACUCUACAGAUUGCUCUGCACUCUGUAGGAUUGUCUGACCUUAUUGCAAAGAUGAAGACUCACAGACAUUCUGAUCUCUCUUAGUUUAUUUUAGAUCCUCACUAAGAAUAAUUUCUGCA